rnacentral:lncRNA from 1 species
GGGGGGGAUCCAGGCCUGGAGGGAGGCUGGGCAGGUGCCGAGGGCUGUGCCGACAGCGCUGAAAUCGAAAACCCUCGCCACUCAUGAAGAACUGAGGCAAAAGGAUCACAGAUGCUGCUCGGGGCCAGCCCUAUACUCCCUCCAGUGCCUGGUCUCCGGUGGACCCGCGGGGCUCUGCAGUUCUCUGGCGGCCGCGCCUUGUAAGCGCUAAGCCGGGAGGAGGGCGCAGGCAGGGCGCACAGCUCUGAGCGCGACCCUACCCGGCUCGGGCCCGCAGCAACCCCGACUGUCCGAGAGCCUCUCCCCAAGCAAGGCUCUGCGCCGCCCUCUGAGCCCACCUCCUGGCCACAACGCUGCCUGCGCUUCUCCAGCCCAGGCCGGAAGCCCUAUGCUGCCUCCCGAAGCCGGGGGCUGCGUAGAGGAUUCGGCAGUUUCUCGGCCACAAGGACGGAGUUUCCUAAGAAGGGAAAGAAGAGUGCGGGCAGAGAGGAGAGGUCCGAGGGGGAAAAGAGAGGCCUGAGGACGCUCUGGCGGCUCCAGUACCAAGCCUUGGUAUCUUUGGGAUUCUGGGGAGAGUGGAAGGGUUUACAAACUACACAUAAAUCGGUGAACUUGAACCACUGUGUAUCCCGAUUUUGCAUUGAGCCGGGCCCUGCGCACCCGGAAUGCUGAAGUGGCCAAGGGCAGAGAGGGGUGUAUUUGCAACUCGUGGUUUCUUCGGUUAAACAAACCCCAACCCGUAGCCUCAGCAACAACAACAAAAACUGCAAGUGCAGGAAGCAAAAUUAAACAUAAUUCCUUUUAUUUAUCUGUUGCAUUUAUAUCAUUAAAAUAUUUUUGGUUACGUUGUAUA